UGAUAAUGCUAAAUUAUCUAUUGAAUCUUACGUGUACAAAAAGUCUAAGAUACACAUGUAUAUAUGAUUCUAAAUAGAUUCAUAACAUUUAACAUGAAUUUUACAUGAACACAGAAAAUUCGAGGUCUGAAUAAGAUCCAUGUAUCAAUAAUACAGUAAACCGUGACACUGUCUGAGCCGGGAAAUAAUGAACCGAAACAAAUCUACCUUCUUAAACUAACCGGAAGGCCUGCCUAAAUGUCGUCAACGUCUCCAUCUCAACUUAUUGCUAAAUAAAGGCAACAGUAGUAUACCGCUGCUCAAUACAUCGAUUGAGAGAAAACAAAUCAGGGUUUCAAGCUUUGUACAGAGAAGAAAAAGUUGGCUUAAU
rnacentral:lncRNA from 1 species